rnacentral:snRNA from 1 species
GUGCUUGCUUCGGCAGCACAUAUACUAAAAUUGGAACGAUACAGAGAAGAUUAGCAUGGCCCCUGCACAAGGAUGACACGCAAAUUCGUGAAGCAUUCUAUAAUUUU